UACAGAGGGGGCAAGCGUUAUUCGGAAUUAUUGGGCGUAAAGAGCGCGCAGGCGGUCGUUCAAGUCGCGUGUGAAAGCCCCCGGCUCAACUGGGGAGGGUCACGCGAUACUGAUCGACUCGAAGGCAGGAGAGGGAAGUGGAAUUCCCGGUGUAGUGGUGAAAUGCGUAGAUAUCGGGAGGAACACCAGUGGCGAAGGCGACUUCCUGGCCUGUUCUUGACGCUGAGGCGCGAAAGCUAGGGUAGCAAACGGG
rnacentral:rRNA from 1 species